ACGUCUUAAAUAACAUGAUAUUUGAAUUUGGGAAAUGGAAAUGUUGUGCACAAAACUUUUUAAUUCCAGUAAACUUUAAAAAGAUUAAUUGCAUUUGACAUAACUCAUUUUAGCCUAUAAUAAGACUUCGUUGCUGGACGUGUGGUCCGAAUCGUUUAUUUUACUCACUGAAGCCACAAUCCCGACUGAUAAAUUAAUAUUUGUGAUUUAGUUAUGCAUUCUGAAUAAAACAAACGUAUUAUACUGUAUGUACUGUAUCUACAGUUUUUUUUUUACCCGGUUAACAAGUGUCUAUCAAUGUUUAACACUACGGGUUCAUAGAUAAUGUGAUUCAGAACGCGAGUUGAUAAGCCAAUUAAAACGUCACUUAUAACAAGGUCGUGUUGGGCCAUGGCAAAUUGUUACGUCAGGCUUUAUCUUAUGAAGUCAACCUAUCUGCCUAAGACAUUUCUAGAUUUUCUCCGUUUUGGAUAACACAGUUUUAUUACCCUUGUUACUCUGUGACUGUGUAUUGAAAGGAUAAGACCCAGACUUCUUUAAUGCCAUUACUUGAAGCUAUUAGUCAUUCACAUGAUUUUUCCAUAACAAGUUUAAAUAGCAUACAACACACGGUAAAUAUAUUUCAGUAAAUAUAUUUCAAAAUGUAUAAACAUACCGUGUUGUCUCUGUAAACUGUUUCUCAUUGAUGAGAAACAUAUGGCCUCAAUAAAAAUUAAAUUAAGAUUCACAAUAUAUAGCUUAAAAUUCAUCUACAUGAACUGAAACGUGUAACAGCUUUGCACAGCUAUCGUAGGACACUUACAUGCGAAUUUCCAUUUAGUUAAAUUCAGGAACUUUCUAGUCAUUCGUUUCCUUUACUCUGUUUACUCUGAUUGGAGACUAAUAAUGAACGUCAAUGCAUAACCCAUAUUCUAUCGUUUCACGUGAAUUUUCACUUGGGUUGAUAUGGAAAAAUAAAUUAAUUGAAACACAUCCAUUGCUUGAACGUUACAAUACUUUAGAUAAAUAUAUGUCAAACAAAUUAUUGAAUUCCCUGAAGUAAAUAGCAACUGCUUGUUUAAAGAGUACCUGAGUGAACUUCUGCAUGCAUACGUCUACAAGGGAGUUGCGGACACUCUUCAGUCAAGGUCAAGGGAUGCAGAAAAAAAGACUAACAGCAGCUAAUUAAGUAUUGCGUGGACUUCACAGGAAGGCUGCAAGGAAAAGAAAGGAGACUGCAGCCUGCAAGACACUACUGCAUUAUCAAGGUGGGGCAAGUGUCCAUGGCCUGGCACCAUUCUGACACUUGUGGACUCCUGCAGUUUAUCCCUCAGCCUGGCAAGAACAAUUCAAGAAAUGAAUGGAAGGGGUGGCACUAACCUUAGAGAAAAGUAGCUUUCUUGCUACACUCCUUGGAAAGGAAAAGUGGAAUACCUCUAGAUUUGGUUUGGGACCUGCAGACAAGAUGGAAUACAUGCCACAUGCCACUUCCUUCAGAAACAGAUGAAAUAUUCCUUGCACACUGCGUUCAGAAAUGUCAACCUCAAAGGCUUACAACAUCUAGGGGAACAGGUUUUCCAUCAGUUUCAAGAUGGACAGCAAAAUUAAAUUUCAGACAAAUGUGCAACAAUUUUCUUCAUAGCUCUAUUUAAACCUAGAUGGAGGGAAGAAAAUAUCUGCUACCCACUUAGUAUCGGUUUAUAUGAGUGAUUUGGCCAGCCCUAAUAUGAUUAUAAAGUGGGGCUAUGGCAAAGUGGAUAAGUGUUUGCCUUGCAGCUAGAAAACAGUGGCUUUGAUUCCCAGUAGAUACUGAUUGUCUAACCCACUUGGUUUUAGACAAAUCUGGCUUUCAAGUGCAUUACUGGGUACCCCUAGAGCCACAGAGGCCUGCUCUACCUUCCCUGCAGUAGGCUGCUAUUUACAAACAAAAGCCCACAAUAUAGGAAUUGAUAAACUGGCAGAAUUUUUUUUUGAAAGUAAUAAUUCACAAAACCUAGCCCUUUCAAGCCCCUGCCUUUUCAAGAAAAAGUAGACUCAAAAGGAAAACAUAAAGGAAACAGUUACAGUAGCAUAUUUUGUAUAAAGCACAGUACUUAGAAUGUCCUUAUUAUAAGGUGACUAUUUGGUCCUUUGUUCAAGUUUAAAUCCCCAUCCCCAUUCCUGAGCAGAAAGAUACUUAUUCAUUUGAUGCCAGAACAGAAGGAUUAACAAAACACUGCAGAAGCUGCAAAACAAAAUAUAAAAUGGGGAACACCAAGCUUGAAGAGGCUACAUUCAACACAUAAGUUUUUAUGCUGACACAUCAGUUACAUCUUCUAAGCAAUCUUGGGAAGCACUAAAAAGGCAAAGAGUGUACUGGGAUAUACUGUAUAGUUGAAAACUGUAGAAUUCAAAUCAAACGAUGUUAAAACUUUAAAAUGCAGCAGUGAAACGUCAUUUAGACUACACGUCUAAAUAUAAAUCCGUCUAAGUCUGAAUCUGCUGUGGAACCAAUACCAUACCUUUCAUGGGACACAUACUUAGGGACAAUUAAAGAUACCAAUUUACCUAGGCAACAUGUCUUAAGUAAACCCAAGUAAACUCAAGCUCCUAGAGAAAACCUACCACAACACAAUGACACCAUGCAAGCUAUACACAAAAGACAUGUCAGAAUCAAACCCAGGAUCCAAGAGCUUUUAGGCAGUAGUGGUAGCUUGUUCUCUAAGACAGCAUUCAAAAAUGAGGUAUUUUAGUAUAGUUCCUAUAUUCUGUCUCAGUAUCUUCACAAGGCUCUGUCAUUGCAUGAGUGAGCAAUGCAACUUUAUUUUCCAAAGCAAAGAGGUAUUGCUUAGAUAUUUUAUGAGCCUGUCAUUAAUUUGAUUGCUGAACAUUGAUGUAUGAGAGGACAUUCCCCCUUUUCUAAAAAGAAGUUUACACUACUGGUCUGUUACUAUAUAUAAUUAAUUUCCAGGUUCAAAGAUUCUUUUUAUUAAGAAA